rnacentral:rRNA from 1 species
GACGAACGCUGGCGGCGUGCCUAAUACAUGCAAGUAGAACGCUGAAGGAGGAGCUUGCUUCUCCGGAUGAGUUGCGAACGGGUGAGUAACGCGUAGGUAACCUGCCUGGUAGCGGGGGAUAACUAUUGGAAACGAUAGCUAAUACCGCAUAACAGUAGAUGUUGCAUGACAUUUGCUUAAAAGGUGCAAUUGCAUCACUACCAGAUGGACCUGCGUUGUAUUAGCUAGUUGGUGAGGUAACGGCUCACCAAGGCGACGAUACGUAGCCGACCUGAGAGGGUGAUCGGCCACACUGGGACUGAGACACGGCCCAGACUCCUACGGGAGGCAGCAGUAGGGAAUCUUCGGCAAUGGACGGAAGUCUGACCGAGCAACGCCGCGUGAGUGAAGAAGGUUUUCGGAUCGUAAAGCUCUGUUGUAAGAGAAGAACGAGUGUGAGAGUGGAAAGUUCACACUGUGACGGUAUCUUACCAGAAAGGGACGGCUAACUACGUG